rnacentral:rRNA from 1 species
UACGAGUGGUGCAAACGUUAUUCGGAAUCACUGGGCUUAAAGGGUGCGUAGGCGGCUACGAUAGUCAGGUGUGAAAUCCCUCGGCUCAACCGAGGAACUGCACUUGAAACUGCGUAGCUUGAGGAAGACAGAGGUGAGCGGAACUGAUGGUGGAGCGGUGAAAUGCGUUGAUAUCAUCAGGAACACCGGUGGCGAAGGCGGCUCACUGGGUCUUAUCUGACGCUGAGGCACGAAAGCCAGGGGAGCAAACGGG